CCUACGGGAGGCAGCAGUGGGGAAUAUUGGACAAUGGGGGGAACCCUGAUCCAGCCAUGCCGCGUGUGUGAAGAAGGCCCUCGGGUUGUAAAGCACUUUCAGUGAGGAAGAACGCCUGGUGGUUAAUACCCAUCAGGAAAGACAUCACUCACAGAAGAAGCACCGGCUAACUCCGUGCCAGCAGCCGCGGUAAUACGGAGGGUGCGAGCGUUAAUCGGAAUUACUGGGCGUAAAGCGCGCGUAGGUGGCUUGAUAAGCCGGUUGUGAAAGCCCCGGGCUCAACCUGGGAACGGCAUCCGGAACUGUCAAGCUAGAGUGCAGGAGAGGAAGGUAGAAUUCCCGGUGUAGCGGUGAAAUGCGUAGAGAUCGGGAGGAAUACCAGUGGCGAAGGCGGCCUUCUGGACUGACACUGACACUGAGGUGCGAAAGCGUGGGUAGCAAACAGGAUUGGAUACCCUGGUAGUC
rnacentral:rRNA from 1 species